rnacentral:rRNA from 1 species
UUUGACCGAUCUGUGUAGGAUAGGUGGGAGGCUUUGAAACCGGGACGCUAGUUUCGGUGGAGCCGUCCUUGAAAUACCACCCAGGUUUGUUUGAGGUUCUAACCUUGGCCCGUGAAUCCGGGUCGGGGACAGUGCAUGGUAGGCAGUUUGACUGGGGCGGUCUCCUCCCAAAGUGUAACGGAGGAGUUCGAAGGUACGCUUGGUACGGUCGGACAUCGUACCUAAAGUGCAAUGGCAAAAGCGUGCUUAACUGCGAGACCGACAGGUCGAGCAGGUGCGAAAGCAGGACAUAGUGAUCCGGUGGUUCUGUAUGGAAGGGCCAUCGCUCAACGGAUAAAAGGUACUCUAGGGAUAAC